UAAGGAAUAUUGGUCAAUGGAGGCAACUCUGAACCAGCCAUGCCGCGUGAAGGAUUAAGGCCCUCUGGGUUGUAAACUUCUUUUAUAUGGGAAGAAAUGUUCUGAUUCUUCAGAGCUUGACGGUACCAUAGGAAUAAGCACCGGCUAACUCCGUGCCAGCAGCCGCGGUAAUACGGAGGGUGCAAGCGUUAUCCGGAUUCACUGGGUUUAAAGGGUGCGUAGGUGGGCAGAUAAGUCAGUGGUGAAAUCUUCCGGCUUAACCGGAAAAUUGCCGUUGAUACUAAUUGUCUUGAAUAUUGUGGAGGUAAGCGGAAUAUGUCAUGUAGCGGUGAAAUGCUUAGAUAUGACAUAGAACACCAAUUGCGAAGGCAGCUUACUAUAUAAUUAUUGACACUGAGGCACGAAAGCGUGGGUAGCGAACA
rnacentral:rRNA from 1 species